AUGGCCUGGACUCUGGUCCUCCUGCUCCCCCUCCUCACCCUCUGCCCAGGGUCCGGGUCUCAGGCUGUGGUGACUCAGGAGCCCUCACUGACUGUGUCCCCAGGAGGGACAGUCACUCUCACCUGUGCCUCUAGCACUGGAGCUGUCACCAGUGGUCACGAUCCAUACUGGUUCCAGCAGAAGUCUGGCCAAGCCCCCAAGACACUGCUUUAUCAUACAAGCAGUAAACACUCCUGGACCCCUGCCCGGUUCUCAGGUUCCCUUCUCGGGGGCAAAGCUGCCCUGACCCUCUCAGGGGCCCAGCCUGAGGACGAGGCCGUGUACCACUGCUGGCUGGUGUACAGUGGUGUGGCUGGAGACUCGGCAUCAGGAUCUGGCUCGUUCACCCUGUGUCUCUCUCCCAACUCUCAUGAGCCCACACUGUCAGAACCUGUGACUACACCUGUCACCACCUCUUCUACUGGAAACUGCACCAAGGCUACGGUGUCUGGCAACACAGCCUUGCAGAGCACCUCUGGGCUCCACCCAAAGCUGGUUGUCACAGUGACGCCCUACACAGCCUCCUACAAAGUUGCAGCCUGCAGGGAAGUGAGACAGGAACUUCUGGGACCAACCAACACUGUGACCCUGACUAUAGCGCCUGACACCCAUGGUGGGGAUAGCACGUGUGCUAAUUUGAGCCCUAACUAG